AGUCAAGAAGAAAAGGGCUUAAGGUGAAUGCCUUGGCACAUGAAGACUAAGAAGGACGUAAGUGAACGAAAACUAGGGAAAGCUCACAAAAAGCAUCGACCCCUAGGUAUCCGAAUGGGGAAACCCGUCUGUGGAAGACACAGACAUCAUAAAGUGAAUACAUAGCUUUAUGAAGUAAGACCCUGCGAACUGAAACAUCUAAGUAGCAGGAGGAAAAGAAAGAAAACUCGAUUUUCCAAGUAGCGGCGAGCGAAAAGAAAACAGCCCAACCCAGUAAGAAAUAUAUUAACUAGUAGAAUCAUUUGGGAAAAUGAACCAAAGAAAGUGAAAGUCUUGUAAACAAAAGAAAAUAUAUUGUGGGUGCAAGUAGCAGUGAACACGAGAAAUUUGCUGUGAAGAUAGGGGGACCAUCCCCUAAGGCUAAAUACUAACAUGUGACCGAUAGCGAACAAGUACCGUGAGGGAAAGGUGAAAAGAACCCCGAAAGGGGAGUGAAACAGAACCUGAAACCUUAAGCCUACAAGCAGACAGAGGGCAAAAGCCUGAUGUCGUACCUUUUGUAGAAUGGGCCAGCGAGUUAUCAUAUAUAGCAAGGUUAAAUCUUUAAGAGAUGAAGCCAAAGCGAAAGCGAGUCUUAAUAGGGCGAAAGUUAGAUAUGAUAGACCCGAAACCGGGUGAUCUAUCCAUGGUCAGAGUGAAGGUGAAGUAAAAUUCACUGGAGGCUCGAACCGGGUGCGGUUUAAAACGCAUCGGAUGAACUGUGGAUAGGGGCGAAAAACCAAACGAACCCGGAGAUAGCUGGUUCUCCUCGAAAUAGCUUUAGGGCUAGCCUAUGAUUAAAGAUUUAAGGAGGUAGAGCACUGACUGGCCUAGGGCGGCUAACCGUACCAAAGCCUAUCAAACUCCGAAUGCCAAAAAAUCAGAUCAUGGAGUCAGACUUAGAGGGAUAAGCUCCUAAGUCGAAAGGGAAACAGCCCAGACCGACAGCUAAGGUCCCAAAAUCUGGAUUAAGUGGAAAAGGAUGUGAACCUACUAAGACAACCAGGACGUUGGCUUAGAAGCAGCCAUACAUUUAAAGAAUGCGUAAUAGCUCACUGGUCAAGUGGGUUUGCGCCGAAAAUAAACGGGGCUAAAAUUCAGUACCGAAGCUUCGGAUUGAUAGAGAAUUUAAAUCUAUUAUAUAAAAGAAACCAUAAAAAAAGGUUAAAGAAAACUUAACUAGACUGAGAAAUAUUAACAAAUACAAUCAAGAUAAAACGAGUUAUCAACAAGCAGGCCCGUCCGGCCAGUAGAGGACCAAUCCAGUCUCCACAUUAUGAGACCCACGGAGUGGCCUUGAAGGAUCGAACGAGUCAGCUAGAACGAAUUACGCAAUAAUCACAAAGUAAAAGGUAAGUUGUAACUACAAAAAUCACUAGAUUAAACAGUAAGAUAUAUGAAUAAAAAAUAUAUCAAAGUCUGGAAAAAAGUAUUCUAAAACCGAUAAAAAUGGCACUUAUGUAUAGAUUUAAAUACUCUAUCAGUGGUAGAGGAGCAUUGUAUUAGGGAAGAAGCCUAAGCGAAAGCAAGUGUGGACUUAAUACAAGAGAGAAUGCUGGCAUGAGUAGCGAGAAGGAGUGUGAGAAUCACUCCCGUCGAAACCCUAAGGACUCCUGAGCAAGGCUCGUCCCCUCAGGGAAAGUCGGGACCUAAGGCAAGGCCUAAAGGCGUAGCCGAUGGAUAACAGGUUUAUAUUCCUGUACCGCUUAAAGUCGCAAUAAGAGACGUGAUGACGCAAGAGGAUAAACUAUCUGCCCGAUGGAAGGCAGUCUAAGCACAAAGGCCGAUUAGUAGGCAAAUCCGCUAAUCAUAAAGCUGAUGUGUGAUAGGUAUCGAAAACAUGAGUAGAGAAGUAGUCGAUUUCAAAUUGCCAAGAAAAGUCACUAUCAAGACAAAAGCGCCCGUACCAAAACCGACACAGGUAGGGAGGUAGAGAAUACCAAGACGCGCGGAAGAACCUUUGUUAAGGAACUCGGCAAAAUGUCCCCGUAACUUCGGGAGAAGGGGAGCCAGAGCGAUCUGGCCACAGAAACCAGGCCCAAGCGACUGUUUACCAAAAACACAAGUUUCUGCAAAAUCGAAAGAUGAAGUAUAGGAGCUGACACCUGCCCGGUGCUGGAAGGUUAAGGGGAAGGCUUAGCAUAAGCGAAGGCUAGAACUUAAGCCCCAGUAAACGGCGGCCGUAACUAUAACGGUCCUAAGGUAGCGAAAUUCCUUGUCGGGUAAGUUCCGACCCGCACGAAAGGUGUAACGA
rnacentral:rRNA from 1 species